rnacentral:rRNA from 1 species
CGAGGCACCACGGUGCUGAAGUGACAAAUGCCCUGCUUCCAGGAAAAGCCUCUAAGCAUCAGGUAACAUCAAAUCGUACCCCAAACCGACACAGGUGGUCAGGUAGAGAAUACCAAGGCGCUUGAGAGAACUCGGGUGAAGGAACUAGGCAAAAUGGUGCCGUAACUUCGGGAGAAGGCACGCUGACAUGUAGGUGAAGCCCCUGCGGGUGGAGCUGAAGUCAGUCGAAGAUACCAGCUGGCUGCAACUGUUUAUUAAAAACACAGCACUGUGCAAACACGAAAGUGGACGUAUACGGUGUGACGCCUGCCCGGUGCCGGAAGGUUAAUUGAUGGGGUUAUCGCAAGAGAAGCUCCUGAUCGAAGCCCCGGUAAACGGCGGCCGUAACUAUAACGGUCCUAAGGUAGCGAAAUUCCUUGUCGGGUAAGUUCCGACCUGCACGAAUGGCGUAAUGAUGGCCAGGCUGUCUCCACCCGAGACUCAGUGAAAUUGAACUCGCUGUGAAGAUGCAGUGUACCCGCGGCAAGACGGAAAGACCCCGUGAACCUUUACUACAGCUUGACACUGAACAUUGAGCCUUGAUGUGUAGGAUAGGUGGGAGGCUUUGAAGCGUGGACGCCAGUCUGCGUGGAGCCGACCUUGAAAUACCACCCUUUAAUGUUUGAUGUUCUAACCUGGCGCCGUGAUCCGGCGUGGGGACAGUGUCUGGUGGGUAGUUUGACUGGGGCGGUCUCCUCCCAAAGUGUAACGGAGGAGCACGAAGGUCAGCUAAUCCUGGUCGGACAUCAGGAGGUUAGUGCAAUGGCAUAAGCUGGCUUGACUGCGAGAGUGACGGCUCGAGCAGGUGCGAAAGCAGGUCAUAGUGAUCCGGUGGUUCUGUAUGGAAGGGCCAUCGCUCAACGGAUAAAAGGUACUCCGGGGAUAACAGGCUGAUACCGCCCAAGAGUUCAUAUCGACGGCGGUGUUUGGCACCUCGAUGUCGGCUCAUCACAUCCUGGGGCUGAAGUAGGUCCCAAGGGUAUGGCUGUUCGCCAUUUAAAGUGGUACGCGAGCUGGGUUUAGAACGUCGUGAGACAGUUCGGUCCCUAUCUGCCGUGGGCGCUGGAGAAUUGAGGGGGGCUGCUCCCAGUACGAGAGGACCGGAGUGGACGCAUCACUGGUGUUCGGGUUGUCAUGCCAAUGGCACUGCCCGGUAGCUAAAUGCGGAAGAGAUAAGUGCUGAAAGCAUCUAAGCACGAAACUUGCCCCG